rnacentral:lncRNA from 1 species
GAUUCAGGCAGUUUACCAUAUUUCCACAUCAGAAACCUCUUCACCUGCAAGCUUUUCACACACUCACAAUAUCUCUCAGGGUUAGGUGUGUACACUCACAGCACAGUAUGCAAUACCAACUCUUAACUUUGAAUACAUUCUAAUGUCACUACCACAGCAGAUUCCACACACUUUUUGAGGUCUUUUUAGGUUGUAACGGGGCUUGGGUACGGUGGGAUAAACAAAAAAAUUGGAUAACAAAGGGUUUUGAACUCGGUAGUCAUGUUGUGUGAUUUUUCUUUCUCUUUUUUCUCGUGCAUCACGUAUACUCUGGGGGUUAAUUUCACUCUUUUGACUCUUUUUCUACUCAAAUUUUCCAAGCAUUUUAUAUCUGUUAGAGUCUUAGGUCUCGGCAAGUGCAUUUUUCUCUUUUGUUUUU